AGAAGAGUCAGUUGAAAGCAGACAGUCUGCAGAGAUCAGUGUGUGGAAACAAGAGCUGGAGAUUCACACAGAGUGAGGAAAGCGUCUAUCCUGUGGAGAGAAGCCGUGCUGUCUAAAUUGUCAAAUCAGAAUGUUAACUCUCAUCUGGGUGAUUCUGCUCCUCGCUGACAAAGGUUCUGGGACUCCUCAGUGUCCAAACAGCAACAGCAGAACCCCACAAAGUGAAAGAAAUGUAUCAGCACAGGCUGGACUGUGUGUUGUUUUACCAUGUUCUUU